UACGUAGGUGACACGCGUUGUCCGGAUUUACUGGGUGUAAAGAGCGCGCAGGCGGUCGUUCAAGUCGAGUGUGAAAGCCCCCGGCUCAACUGGGGAGGGUCACUCGAUACUGAUCGACUCGAAGGCAGGAGAGGGAAGUGGAAUUCCCGGUGUAGUGGUGAAAUGCGUAGAUAUCGGGAGGAACACCAGUGGCGAAGGCGACUUCCUGGCCUGUUCUUGACGCUGAGGCGCGAAAGCUAGGGGAGCAAACGGG
rnacentral:rRNA from 1 species